rnacentral:rRNA from 1 species
CAGUAGCCGCGGUAAUACAGAGGGUGCGAGCGUUAAUCGGAUUUACUGGGCGUAAAGCGUGCGUAGGCGGUUAUAUAAGACAGAUGUGAAAUCCCCGGGCUCAACCUGGGAACUGCAUUUGUGACUGUAUAGCUAGAGUACGGCAGAGGGGGAUGGAAUUCCGCGUGUAGCAGUGAAAUGCGUAGAUAUGCGGAGGAACACCGAUGGCGAAGGCAAUCCCCUGGGCCUGUACUGACGCUCAUGCACGAAAGCGUGGGGAGCAAACAGGAUUAGAUACCCGUGUAGUCCCUGUCUCUUAUAC